CCAGAAAAACAGCAUUCCAGACUUAGCCAAAUUUUCAGCUUUUUCAGCUUUCGGGGUUCGUUUCGCUCCGUUUUCGCCCGUUUGACUUCUGAUUCGUUUCAAAUCGAACCGAGACUCUCCAAACAUGAUUUUGAGCAUAUUUUCAUCAUCUUUUCAUCCACGCUAAUGCUGGAUUUAGCUCAUAGCCUAACAUAGUCUUUCGGGUUCCGUUUCUGCGCCUACGGGCACCGAAUCGCCCGAAUGCUUCCAAACUUCACCGGAACCUUUCAAAUGGCUCUCCAACCAAAUGUACACCGUAACUUCAUGAUUUUAGAAGUCCGGUACCUUACCAAGCCAAAUUAAAUCUAAAUUAUAUCUAAUUCUAAUUAGAUUAGAAUUUAAUUUCAAUUUAGAUAACUAUAAAUCUAAAUCAAAUUAUGACAGUUGCAACCGCUAUUUCCCCUUUGUUUUUUAUUUAAAUAUUCCAAUAUGAUACACUAUACAAUAUUUAUGUGAUGAAUAAAAAAUAAAGUAUAAACUUUAUAUGUGUUGGAUCGUUGGCGCUAUCCAUUAAUCUCAAAAGCUUGAGCUGUUAAAAAUACGCAACCAAUUUACUUAAAACGUACAGAUACAGCGUCUAUGAGUCUCGAUUGUGACUCGGCCCAACCAGACUCACGCCAUUUCGAACAUGACUCGGUCCAACCCAGCCUCAUGCCAUUUCGAACAUGACUCGGCCCACAGGACAUCCAGCCACAGGACAUAAUGCUGGCCUAUUUAAGCCAACAAUAUGUGUUACAUGUGCUAUUUUUACAAGAAUUAGAAACUAUCUUUACCACAGAGCCGACCCUGGCCCGAUAUGGCAUGGUCCGAAUGUGUUGUGUCGAAUAUUUUAAAAAUUAGAUCGAAGCGUGACCUAAAAAGUUACUAGAUCAAGGGUCACUUGUUUUGUUUUUUUUGAGAGAGAUAGGUAGCACGUUACCCGCUUUGUUGAUUUCAUUUAGAAAUAAACUUAGCUGAAAAUGUGAAUCAACUAGGAUUCAAACUUGGGCCUCGAGUACCAACCACCAAGCUCUUUGCCACUUCAGUGAUUCAACUACUGAUUGAACUAGAAACAUCAUCAUAAUAUCAUAAAUAUUUAAUUAUUUUUAGUUUUAUUAUAAUAUAUUAUAUAAUACAAUAUUGAAUUUUAGACCAAAUAAGUGGAUGCAAGUUUUCAAAUUUUAUUUUUCAUAAUAGAAAAAAGUUAAAAAAAAAUAAAAAAAUUAAAAUUAUACUAAUGAACAAAGAGAUAAAAAAAAAUUUUAAAAAAUUAGCCGAUUUGUUUAGGG
rnacentral:lncRNA from 1 species